CGGUGUGGGUGGGUGCAUGAAU
rnacentral:miRNA from 10 species